rnacentral:rRNA from 1 species
AAUUCGAUGCAACGCGAAGAACCUUACCUGGUCUUGACAUCCACGGAAGUUUUCAGAGAUGAGAAUGUGCCUUCGGGAACCGUGAGACAGGUGCUGCAUGGCUGUCGUCAGCUCGUGUUGUGAAAUGUUGGGUUAAGUCCCGCAACGAGCGCAACCCUUAUCCUUUGUUGCCAGCGGUCCGGCCGGGAACUCAAAGGAGACUGCCAGUGAUAAACUGGAGGAAG